rnacentral:tRNA from 1 species
GCAUCGGUGGUUCAGUGGUAGAAUGCCCGCUACCCACGCGGGCGGCCUGGGUUCGAUUCCCGGCCGAUGCA